rnacentral:rRNA from 1 species
UACGUAGGGGGCAAGCGUUGUCCGGAAUCAUUGGGCGUAAAGCGCGCGUAGGCGGCCCGAUAAGUCUGCUGUGAAAGUCCAGGGCUCAACCCUGGAAUGCCGGUGGAUACUGUCGGGCUAGAGUUCGGAAGAGGCAAGUGGAAUUCCUGGUGUAGCGGUGGAAUGCGCAGAUAUCAGGAAGAACACCCGUGGCGAAGGCGGCUCUCUGGGACGGUACUGACGCUGAGACGCGAAAGCGUGGGGAGCGAACAGG